UACGAAGGGAGCUAGCGUUGUUCGGAAUCACUGGGCGUAAAGCGCACGUAGGCGGAUCGUUUAGUCAGGGGUGAAAUCCCGGAGCUCAACGUUCGGAACUGCCUUUGAUACUGGCGAUCUCGAGUCCGAUAGAGGUGGGUGGAAUUCCUAGUGUAGAGGUGAAAUUCGUAGAUAUUAGGAAGAACACCGGUGGCGAAGGCGGCCCACUGGACGGUACUGACGCCUGAGGUGCGAAAGCGUGGGGAGCAAACAGG
rnacentral:rRNA from 1 species